UGAAAGAAAAAUACAAGAUCUCUUAGUUUAUGAAUUGAUUAAGCCUAAAUCUUGGACUUUAGUUUAAAGGUUCUCUCACUAUUUUAGUCGAAUUGGUAGUCUCUAUCUCUAAUUUGAGGAAUUAUCCUAAUUCGUUAAUGGGUACUAGAAUCCACACAGACUGCAUAUGAGCCCGACUUUAGCCGGCUCACCUAUGUAUAUCUAUGGGUAGGUUCUUAAUCAAUUAUUUCAGUAAAUAAUUUUUAGUAAUUGAUUUAGCCCCAAGUAACUUUUCAAUUAACUUUGGUUUUCUCUACAAGCCUUGCUUAGGUCCAACCAUUAACAUGAUCAUACUUACGAAUCUAACAUCAAAUAAUCAGGUCCGAUUUUAACUGGCUAAUCUAACCACUUGACAGAGAAACUCGACUAAGUCAUCAUAUUAUGAAUGAUAAUUUUUAUAACAGAUGAACACCAGAUCUUUUGGUCUCCAAUGAUCAUCAUAUUAAUAGACCUAUUAUCACCCAACUUAAUGGGCAGCUAUGAUCUAGUUAUCCCCAUAACUAGCUCAUUUUUAUGGAUCUAAUAAUUUAGAGGAUUUAAUUUAUGAGUUAAGAGAAGAAAAAAGAUCAACCAGUAAAUCAUAAUCCUCCUCUUGACUUUAUCAAGUCAUUGAAUUGGAUUAGGGUCAUGCUGGUUGAAAUGGUACCUAGAUCAGUUACACUGAUCAAUCUUAAUGACAUAGAUUAACUUGAAUCACUUAGCAGUCUAAUUAAGACAUAAUUCAUCAAAUUAGUCAGAUAAGUAAGAUCGAUGAGAGAGUCUGCUAAGCUUGCCUUAGACACCAUCGAAAUAGUC
rnacentral:lncRNA from 1 species